AGGCGUCCUUAUGAAGAUUAAAGUGAUUCAUCUUCAAAUUUGCACGGUAAUAUCUACAAUAGAACUCCUGCCACAUCAACAUAACCAAGAUAUACAAAUGUCAGCUAAAUCAAGCUCAAAACGGGUCCAGACAUUAAAAGAAAAUAUUAAGUCCGUGCAACCAUUAGUGAAGAUCAAUUAAUUAAUCAUUUAAUUUAUACUAAACCUACCAGAGAACUGCUGAUCAAAUCACCAUAACAAAAUUACCCUACAUAAUAAUUAUAGCACCAUGAAACCAGAUUCACUUAAAAAAGAUUUUCACAUAAAAAAAAAUGAAAAAUAACAACAAUAUAAACAUGAAAAGGACUUUCAAAUUCGUUUUUAUUUCUUCUUUCAAAUUUUCGUCCAGUGCUUUCCUACCAAACAAAUAUAAAUUUGACAAAUUUGACCAGAGAUCUAAGCUCCAGACCGAAAAAAAAAAGAAAGAAAGAAAUUAAAAGAGAAAAACUUUUCUAUAUCAUACGCACAAAGACGGUCAAAACUAUACCAAUUCAAACCAAAUAAAGCUACUAAAACAUGAGAGUUCUCAAACCCAACAUUUUCGCCCCUUCUUUGAACAAAUAAAAAAAAUAAUAUACAAAAGGCCAGAAAAAGGGAGAGGAGAGAGAGAGUAAACCAUGAAAUACAAUUCUACAGGAAUCGUUAGGAAUAAGAUCACUAACAGCAGAACCAUGAAAAAGCUAAAAAUCAUCCAAAAAUCGAAAACAAGACGCUAAGAGUAACCAGAUCUGAUCUAAAAUAAAUUAACUGUAGCUUUUACUCUGUUCGAUUUGAACAUCUGACAAACUGCUAGCCAAAAUUAUUAACUAGAACAAUACAGCAACUAGAUCUGCAAAUUGCGAGAGAAAAAUUUGAUGUCAAAAAAGCCGCGAGACCGCCAUUAAUCAACAGAUGACUCGACAGAAGCUAGCGAGGGAGAAUUUACCUGGAGGAAUCCUCCGGUAGAAGAAAACCAGGAAAUGAUGCCACGAGGAAGAAAAUAGAAAAAGGAGGGGCUGAGACGGUUUUAUAGAGGCUGGGUGGAUUGGGUUUUGCGUUUGUGGACUUUGUAAUGGUAGUCAAAAACGGUUGUUCUA
rnacentral:lncRNA from 1 species